rnacentral:snRNA from 1 species
GUGCUUGCUUUGGCUGCACAUGCACUAGAAUUGGAAAGAAACACAGAAAAUUAACACAGUCCCUGAGAAGGGUUGAAAUGCAUAUUCAUGACGCAGUCCAUAAUUUU